rnacentral:piRNA from 1 species
UGAUGAGAUAUAGAAAUCACUUUGUCCGU